rnacentral:rRNA from 1 species
GACGAACGCUGGCGGCGUGCCUAAUACAUGCAAGUUGAACGAGAGCGACCGGUGCUUGCACUGGUCAAUCUAGUGGCGAACGGGUGAGUAACACGUGGGUAACCUGCUCAUCAGAGGGGGAUAACAUCCGGAAACGGAUGCUAAAACCGCAUAGGUCUUCGAGCCGCAUGGCUUGAAGAGGAAAAGAGGCGCAAGCUUCUGCUGAUGGAUGGACCCGCGGUGCAUUAGCUAGUUGGUGAGGUAACGGCUCACCAAGGCCGUGAUGCAUAGCCGACCUGAGAGGGUGAUCGGCCACAUUGGGACUGAGACACGGCCCAAACUCCUACGGGAGGCAGCAGUAGGGAAUCUUCCGCAAUGGACGCAAGUCUGACGGAGCAACGCCGCGUGAGUGAAGAAGGUUUUCGGAUCGUAAAACUCUGUUGUUAGAGAAGAACAAGUGCUAGAGUAACUGUUAGCGCCUUGACGGUAUCUAACCAGAAAGCCACGGCUAACUACGUGC